rnacentral:rRNA from 1 species
CAGCAGUGGGGAAUAUUGGACAAUGGGCGGAAGCCUGAUCCAGCCAUGCCGCGUGUGUGAAGAAGGCCUUUUGGUUGUAAAGCACUUUAAGCGAGGAGGAGGCUCCUUUAGUUAAUACCUAAAGUGAGUGGACGUUACUCGCAGAAUAAGCACCGGCUAACUCUGUGCCAGCAGCCGCGGUAAUACAGAGGGUGCGAGCGUUAAUCGGAUUUACUGGGCGUAAAGCGUGCGUAGGCGGCUUUUUAAGUCGGAUGUGAAAUCCCUGAGCUUAACUUAGGAAUUGCAUUCGAUACUGGAAAGCUAGAGUAUGGGAGAGGAUGGUAGAAUUCCAGGUGUAGCGGUGAAAUGCGUAGAGAUCUGGAGGAAUACCGAUGGCGAAGGCAGCCAUCUGGCCUAAUACUGACGCUGAGGUACGAAAGCAUGGGGAGCAAACAGGAUUAGA